rnacentral:rRNA from 1 species
AUUGAACGCUGGCGGCAGGCCUAACACAUGCAAGUCGAGCGGAGGAAGGGAGCUUGCUCCUGGAUUCAGCGGCGGACGGGUGAGUAAUGCCUAGGAAUCUGCCUGGUAGUGGGGGAUAACGUCCGGAAACGGGCGCUAAUACCACAUACGUCCUGAGGGAGAAAGUGGGGGAUCUUCGGACCUCACGCUAUCAGAUGAGCCUAGGUCGGAUUAGCUAGUUGGUGGGGUAAAGGCCUACCAAGGCGACGAUCCGUAACUGGUCUGAGAGGAUGAUCAGUCACACUGGAACUGAGACACGGUCCAGACUCCUACGGGAGGCAGCAGUGGGGAAUAUUGGACAAUGGGCGAAAGCCUGAUCCAGCCAUGCCGCGUGUGUGAAGAAGGUCUUCGGAUUGUAAAGCACUUUAAGUUGGGAGGAAGGGCAGUAAGUUAAUACCUUGCUGUUUUGACGUUACCAACAGAAUAAGCACCGGCUAACUUCGUG